UGCACUAACCAGAGCUAGGCUGAUAAGCCAAUCUAAGCUAAAUCAAAGAACCGUCUUUGGCUAAAUUCGCUAAGCUAGCGUUAAGUUAUAUAAGUUUGUGGCACCCACAAUUAACCUAGGCAACUGGGGGCAAUAUCAAGUGCAUUUUGAAUAGCCUGAAGAAGUAAGUUUAUGUUAAUAUUACAUAAAUAAGGCAAUUUAAAAUAGUUUGUUGUGGGAAAACAUUUAUUAAAAUAGCUUAAUAUGAUGUGUGAGAAUUAAAACGGCGAUAAUUCUGGUCAGGUGUUAAAUGUGUAUUCCUGCCUUUAGCUUAGCGUUAGCUUAGCGUUAGCUAAGCCAUAGCAUGAAGAAGUAAGUUUAUGUGAAUAUUACAUAAAUAAGGCAAUUUAAAAUAGUUUGUUGUGGGAAAAAAUUAAUUAAAAUAGCUUAAUAUGAUGUGUGAGAAUUAAAACGGCACGAUAAUUCUCGUCAGGUGUUAAAUGUGUAUUCCCGCCUUUAGCUUAGCGUUAGCUUAGCGUUAGCUAAGCCAUAGCAUGAAGAAGUAAGUUUAUGUUAAUAUUACAUAAAUAAGGCAAUUUAAAAUAGUUUGUUGUGGGAAAAAAAAUAAUUAAAAUAGCUUAAUAUGAUGUGUGAGAAUUAAAACGGCACGAUAAUUCUCGUCAGGUGUUAAAUGUGUAUUCCCGCCUUUAGCUUAGCGUUAGCUUAUCGUUAGCUUAGCGUUAGCUAAGCCAUAGCAUGAAGAAGUAAGUUUAUGUGAAUAUUACAUAAAUAAGGCAAUUUAAAAUAGUUUGUUGUGGGAAAAAAAUAAUUAAAAUAGCUUAAUAUGAUGUGUGAGAAUUAAAACAGCACGAUAAUUCUCGUCAGGUGUUAAAUGUGUAUUCCCGCCGUUAGCUUAGCGUUAGCUAAGCCAUAGUGUGAAGAAGUAAGUUUAUGUGAAUAUUACAUAAAUAAGGCAAUUUAAAAUAGUUUGUUGUGGGACAAAAAUAAAUGGCCAUCUUCAACAUUUUCUGAGAUUUCUAAUUUGUCUUUUUCUACUUGUGCAGAUGGAGUCAUGAAAUGUGACGGGACAGCCACCAAGGACUUCAUAACAGUUACUUCGGAGCAUCUCAAACAUGCACCACAAAGACGUGGAGGACACACCGCUGUCUCUCAGGACCUAGAAUCUUAAUGAAAGUAUAAUGAUGUUAAGGGAAGGUGUAAUGGAAAGGUGUAAUGGAAAGUUGUAAUGGUGUUGAGGGAAGGUGUAGUGGAAAGGUGUGAUAGUGUUGAGGGAAGGUGUAAUGUUAAAGGUGUAAUAGUGUUAAGGGAAGGUAUAAUAUUGUUAAGGGAAGGUGUAAUGCAGGGGUCUCAAACUCAUUUUUGCCGAGGGCCACAUUGACAUAUUGGCUGUCCUCUGAGGGCCAGAUGUAACUUAUAAAUAUAAGAAAAUGUAACCAGAUGUAAUAUAAAAUGAAUGUAAUUACUCCUUAAUGUUAAAUAACUCUCAAUAUACUAUUUAUUCAAUCAAAUAUUACAGUUGCAUGGAAAAAUGUUUGCUUGUUGCUCUAUUAACAUAAAUCCUUUUAAUUUGUCAUGUUAUGAAAUCCAAAAACUCCAUCAAUCAAGAACCAAACUAUUCAAGUGAAUAGAAAUUACAUCAAGUACAAGUUAUAUUAACUUUGAUCAAAACGUUUGAUACUGAAAUAAGGCUUAAUAAAUAUAAAAUCAAAAAUUGUGAGCUGUGACAGAUUUAGCAUUUCCUCAGAUUUAGCAGUUCCUCAUCCAACCACUAGUCGGAGCUGCAGCUGCAGCACCACAAGCCCGCAGUCUUUGCUUAGUCAGAGCUACAGCCCAGCCACGGGCUACAGGACUCAGCUGAGCCAGUCUGGAGCGUUUUUACAUUUUUUAAGUUCUUCUGUGUAUGAAAUAAAAUAACCCCACUAACCGGAUAAUACAGCUCUCUACAGUUCAUCUUUCAGCCCAAGCAGCUAACAGCAGCAGUUUAGAGCAGCGUCACGGAGGCACUGCUGGGAUUACAUUAUAAACAGGUCAGUUAGCGCGCUGCUAACCUCAGGAUGUUUAUAACUACGGAGUUUAGUGGACACACCACGGCUGCAAGGUUAGACUGUUGAAGGCUACUGAAGACUACUAAAGCAGGCAACGCAGCGUAAGCAAAAAAAAAACAAAAAACACACACACACCAAAAUACAAGUUAAGAUAAAAUAUGAAAACGAACAUAAUAAAGCAUAAAUAAUUAAAUUGAAUUGCGGGCCAGAUGUAUGUUUAUUUUGUUAACCCGUGAGGGGCCGUAUGAAACCGCGUGGGCCGGUACUUUGAGACCCCUGGUGUAAUGUAAAGGUGUAAUAGUGUUGAGGGAAGGUAUAAUAUUGUUAAGGGAAGGUGUAAUAGUUUUGAGGGAAGGUAUAAUAUUGUUAAGGGAAGGUGUAAUGUAAAGCUGUAAUAGUUUUAAGGGAAGGUAAAUGUUUAGUGAAAUUGUUAUGGUGUGAAUCUAAGGUGUAUGUUAUGUUGAUGUAAAAUAAAGGCAUUAACCCCAAA